rnacentral:rRNA from 1 species
UCAAAGUUAGUGGCGGAGUUAGCACAUACUCUAGGCGUAGUAAUUAAUCAUCUCGCUUUUGUGGUUGUGCUGGCGCCUGCCGUAAAACACCCAAUUUCAAUAGGUUUGACCUCGGAUCAGGUAAGAAUACCCGCUGAACUUAAGCAUAUCAAUAAGCGGAGGAAAAGAAACCAACAGGGAUUGCCCUAGUAACGGCGAGUGAAGCGGCAACAGCUCAAAUUUGAAAUCUGGCCCUCGGGUCCGAGUUGUAAUUUGUAGAGGAUGCUUUUGGCGCGGUGCCUUCCGAGUUCCCUGGAACGGGACGCCUUAGAGGGUGAGAGCCCCGUACGGUUGGACGCUAAGCCUUUGUAAAGCUCCUUCAACGAGUCGAGUAGUUUGGGAAUGCUGCUCUAAAUGGGAGGUAAAUUUCUUCUAAAGCUAAAUACCGGCCAGAGACCGAUAGCGCACAAGUAGAGUGAUCGAAAGAUGAAAAGCACUUUGAAAAGAGGGUUAAAUAGCACGUGAAAUUGUUGAAAGGGAAGCGUUUGCGACCAGACCUUUUCCUAGCGGAUCAUCCGGUGUUCUCACCGGUGCACUUCGCUAGGUUUAGGCCAGCAUCGGUUUCCGUAGGGGGAUAAAAGCCUGGGGAAUGUGGCUCCUUCGGGAGUGUUAUAGCCCCUCGCAUAAUACCCUUAUGGGGACCGAGGACCGC